UACGUAGGGGGCAAGCGUUGUCCGGAAUCAUUGGGCGUAAAGCGCGUGUAGGCGGUUCGGUAAGUCUGCUGUGAAAGUCCAGGGCUCAACCCUGGGAUGCCGGUGGAUACUGUCGGACUAGAGUACGGAAGAGGCGAGUGGAAUUCCCGGUGUAGCGGUGGAAUGCGCAGAUAUCAGGAGGAACACCAAUAGCGAAGGCAGCUCGCUGGGACGUUACUGACACUGAGGCGCGAAAGCGUGGGGAGCGAACAGG
rnacentral:rRNA from 1 species